UACGUAGGGCGCAAGCGUUGUCCGGAAUUAUUGGGCGUAAAGAGCUCGUAGGCGGUUUGUCACGUCGGGUGUGAAAGCCCGGGGCUUAACCCCGGGUCUGCAUUCGAUACGGGCAGACUAGAGUGUGGUAGGGGAGAUCGGAAUUCCUGGUGUAGCGGUGGAAUGCGCAGAUAUCAGGAGGAACACCGAUGGCGAAGGCAGGUCACUGGGCCGCAACUGACGCUGAGGAGCGAAAGCAUGGGGAGCGAACAGG
rnacentral:rRNA from 1 species